AACGAACGCUGGCGGCGUGGAUAAGACAUGCAAGUCGAGCGCUUAUUCCUUGGUAGCAAUAUUGAGGAGUAGGAGCGGCGCAAGGGUGCGUAACACGUGGAUCAUCUGCCUGGAAGUUCG
rnacentral:rRNA from 1 species